rnacentral:rRNA from 1 species
CCUACGGGAGGCUGCAGUGGGGAAUAUUGCACAAUGGAGGGAACUCUGAUGCAGCGACGCCGCGUGAGGGAAGACGGUCUUCGGAUUGUAAACCUCUGUCUUUGGGGAAGAAAAUGACCGUACCCAAAGAGGAAGCUCCGGCGAACUACGUUCCAGCAGCCGCGGUAAUACGUCGGGAGCGAGCGUUAUCCGGAAUUACUGGGUGUAAAGGGAGCGUAGGCGGGCGAGAAAGUUGAAUGUUAAAUCUACCGGCUUAACUGGUAGCUGCGUUCGAAACUUCUUGUCUUGAGUGAAGUAGAGGCAGGCGGAAUUCGUGGUGUAGCGGUGAAAUGCGUAGAGAUUAGGAGGAACACCGAUGGCGAAGGCAGCCUGCAGGGCUUUAACUGACGCUGAGGCUCGAAAGCGUGGGGAGCAAACAGGAUUAGAUACCCUUGUAGUC